rfam:Schistosoma mansoni strain Puerto Rico chromosome 2, complete genome
AUCCAGCGGACGAGUCGCAAAUAAGACAAACGCGCGGCCUGGAU